rnacentral:sRNA from 1 species
GCGUUCUGAUCCAAAGCAAAGCUGAAAGGCCCUCGCGCAAUUGCGCGAGGGCCUUUUUUAUGACGG